UAUAAAAUAUUAAUCAUGUUUUAUCAUCUAAUAAUAAUAAAAAUACAAAUUAUAACGGACAGUCAAAAUUGAAUACGGAAACCCAGUGUUCACAUGCUAGCGCGGUUGUGCAGGAGGGGCAAAGCUAGCUGCCGCCGGCGAUCCGGCGGAGGGCCGCCGCCGGUGGGAAACACGCGGGCGGCGCCACAGCCGUGUCAAGGGCGAGAAGGUUCCCUCCCUCGCGCGCCUGCGUCUCGAGCCCCCUGUUCCCCCAUGGGAGACAUUCAGGAACGAACUUGCAAAUGGGAGAUGUUACUGGUCAUAUUCUAGGGACUUGAGAAGAUGAAUUAGCUACGAUUGUGCUACUAGCUACUGCUCGAUGUUCCUGGGAUGAGAAAUCUGGACUUGGUUGGAACCCUGAAGCUGGGCUCAGUUCUAUGGAUAUUUCUUCCUCCUGUUGGCAUGUGUAUUCAGAGUCAUCUGGUACUGUCAAUUGCAGAAACAUCAGCAGGGCGAUCAAAAGGGCUGAGGUUGAAGCAACUCCUGUGACUAGAAAAAGUCCCGAGAAGCUGUUGAAGUUUAGACUGCUCGAGCCAAUGACGGUGCCAUCAUUCUGACAG